CGCGGUACAGGUUGAGCUCGCCGGACGGUACGGACAGCCUGCUGCUGAGAGGCUCAGGUAUGUCAUGGUCAUCACCACUGCAAAAACACAAACCCCAAAAAUUUCAUCAAUUUUUUUUCGCUUCCAAUCUUAAUGACCAUGUUACUAAUUUGAUUACCCAUUUUCAGAAUUGGUUAUGAACCAUUAGCAUGGAUAUGGUUUAGCAUUGUGGGGAUUGAUGCUAUAACUGAUAACAUUUUCAGUUGUUACCUUUCUGAAGAUGCAGGCUCAGGAUCAGGGCAUUCUACAGGCAUUAUCUCUGGGCUCUCUCCAUCCAUCUCGGAGCUAACAGGGACAAACCUGAUCGACUUACAAGCGGAACAAUCCGGUGCUUAAUCUUCGAUCUCUUACAGGGCUCGGCCAAUCCGCCAAUAGGAGGUAGACAUGGAAACAAUUAUAUGCCUUCCAGAGUUGAUUCGAGAAGGCAUAAAUAGGGUAGAGAGCCUCUCCUCCAGCUCUGAGUUGCUCCUCUCCAGGUCCUUCACCCUCGCCUCCAGCUCACUCAUGGCAUUUGUGGAGAUCGAUCAGAAUUCAUCUUUCAUCUAUUCAGUGAUAGAUCGCGAGAUUCUUCAACCCCCUGCUACCAAUUCUGAGUUUGUGUUCAAGGCAUUCUAUCUCCUUUGUUUCUGGCGCGGUGGCGCCUAUGAAAUCAUCGACAUGACAAUGUAUUCCACGGAGAACCUUCAUCAAUCCAAAAGAUUUUGAGAUUAUCUGUGUGGAA